rnacentral:lncRNA from 1 species
CAGCCAAAUAGCUCAGUGGUGGUGGGGAGGAGGUAAGAUGUCUACAACACUGCCACUGCUGUCAUCAUCACCACCACCACCGGCACCACCACCACCUCCAUCAACAGCAGCAGCAGCAGCAUCCUCAGCAACCAACAACAAAGCCCCCUUUUCUAAAUGCUUGUGCAGUGCUGAAUGGGCUUAGUCAUCAUCAUUAUCAACAACAACAACGCCACCAGCAACAGCAGCCGGUUUUUAACAUCAAUGCAUCCCUCUUCUUAAGUUGCACCCGUUGGUAGCGAGUUUCAUCCCAACAUCUCUGUCGUCACCACUCUUCCGACCACAGUUCUUUCAUCAGCCAGUGUUCAGGUUUCUUGUCAGGUCAGUCGUCCCCUAUUCUCCUCAUGUGUAGACAGUGUCUUCGUCGAAGAUUGUGCCAAGACUCUAUUUUCCAUUCAUGUGCACGUAUGGUAUGUAUACAUGCAUACGUAUACACACAAAACGCACGUACACUUGUGUCUUGUGUAGUGUGACUCUGGACUGCGUGCUGCGUUGCAUACGUAGCUGUUUCUGCAAACAUCGGUUCUACAAGCUUCAACCGGCCAGCAGCAUUGUCAAUCUUCAAAGUGACUUCUUGUUCAUCAGGCCCUUUUUUCGUAGUGGACAGAGCACCCUAGUCCCCACCUGCUAUCUGUUGGUCUCUUCUACUACUAGGGUUACUUCAUACAUCAACAACUCCAUUUUAAGGGGCAACUUUCAGGUAAGAUAAGAUUUUGUUUAUCUCUAUAAUACCAUCAAUCUACCUAAUUGAUCUCUCUAUAUAUCUGUCUCUCUCUAGCUAUAUAUCAUCUCUCUGUCUUUCAAUCUCUCUCCAUCCAUCCAUUUUAAGGUACCUUAUUCUAAAUUUUUUUUGUUUUAACUAACAAACCAUAAAAAUUUUAAAGCUGAAUUUUAAUUUAAUUAUUAUUUUAAUUUUUUUUUUCCCCCCUCUUUGCAUCUUUUAAUUCAAACUUCAUUUUAUUUCUGUAAAUUUCUUUCUUCUAUCUUCUCCUCUUGUAUUUAGGGUGGGAUUGUUAUUGCUGCUUUGGAACUUUUGUCUUUUGGUUUUUAGAAACAGAUCCAAGUAAAUAACAGUAAUAAUACAACUUUGGAUUAUCUGACUAGUUAACGGUCGCUUGGCUUCUGGCAUUUACUUUUAUUUUUUAAAACUUUUUUUAAGGCUUCCAAAAAUGACUAGAUCUACCGGUCCCUCUUAGCUGUUUAUUAUCUGUUUCCAGUACUUGUACAUGUUGCUUGCUUGAUGCAUGCAACUUUUGUGUGACAUUCUGCCAAGCUGUGUGUAUGUAGACAUGUACGUUUAUGCGAUUAUCUUUGUACUAGUCUUUGCAAACUUUCAUGUCAGUUUCAUAUUGAUAGAAGUUAGCAUAUAUCCUUUUGUAAAACUAAUGAUACAAUCUCUUUUUUAUUGGUUUCAGCUAGUGACUGUGGCCAUGCUGGGGCACUGCCGUUACAUUUUGAUACUCAGCAUUUUUUCAUUCCUCUUAAUUCUAAUAAAUCUAGAUAUUGCAAUUUCAAAAGAAGACCAAAUAAAAUGGUAAAAUAAACACCAAUAUAUUAUUAGAGGUAUGAUUCACUUGACUUCUUACCUCUACAAUUUUGUGGCCUUGUCCCUUAGAAAUAUACUUUUGUUAGAUUAUCUUUCAUUUCAUAACAUAAGCUUGUUCUAAUUUAUUUUAUUUUGGUCACAUUUGGCUUGUAUGCAUUAGGUUUUUGAUAUUUUGGCUGUUCUUAAUAAAUUGGUGUUUGAAGAUAUUGUAAUAUGGUUGGGAGUGGCUGUGUGGCAAGAAGCUUGCUUCCUAACUACAUGGUCCCUGGUUCAGUCCCACUUGGCCAAGUGUCUUCUACUAUAGCCUCAGGCCGACCAAAGCCUUGUGAAUGGAUUUGGUAGUUGGAAACUGAAAGAAGCCCAUUGUGUG